rnacentral:rRNA from 1 species
GAUGAACGCUGGCGGCGUGCCUAAUACAUGCAAGUCGAGCGAACAGACGAGGAGCUUGCUCCUCUGACGUUAGCGGCGGACGGGUGAGUAACACGUGGAUAACCUACCUAUCAGACUGGGAUAACUUCGGGAAACCGGAGCUAAUACCGGAUAAUAUAUUGAACCGCAUGGUUCAAUGGUGAAAGACGGUUUUGCUGUCACUUAUAGAUGGAUCCGCGCCGCAUUAGCUAGUUGGUAAGGUAACGGCUUACCAAGGCGACGAUGCGUAGCCGACCUGAGAGGGUGAUCGGCCACACGGGAGCUGGGACACGGUCCAGACUCCUACGGGAGGCAGCAGUAGGGAAUCUUCCGCAGUGGGCGAAAGCCUGACGGAGCAACGCCGCGUGAGUGAUGAAGGUCUUCGGAUCGUAAAACUCUGUUAUUAGGGAAGAACAAAUGUGUAAGUAACUAUGCACGUCUUGACGGUACCUAAUCAGAAAGCCACGGCUAACUACGUG